rnacentral:piRNA from 1 species
UGGCCACGACUUGGGUGUUCUUUAUUUCC